rnacentral:rRNA from 1 species
GACGAACGCUGGCGGCGUGCUUAACACAUGCAAGUCGAACGGAAAGGCCCCUUUGGGGGUACUCGAGUGGCGAACGGGUGAGUAACACGUGAGUAACCUGCCCUUGACUUCGGGAUAACUUCAGGAAACUGGGGCUAAUACCGGAUAGGAAUCCUUGCUGCAUGGUGGGGGUUGGAAAGCUUCGGCGGUUUUGGAUGGACUCGCGGCGUAUCAGCUUGUUGGUGGGGUAGUGGCUUACCAAGGCUUUGACGGGUAGCCGGCCUGAGAGGGCGACCGGCCACAUUGGGACUGAGGUACGGCCCAGACUCCUACGGGAGGCAGCAGUGGGGAAGAUUGCACCAUGGGCGGAAGCCUGAUGCAGCAACGCCGCGUGCGGGAUGACGGCCUUCGGGUUGUAAACCGCUUUCAGCAGGGGCGAAGCUUGUGGUGACGGUACCUGCAGAAGAAGCACCGGCUAACUACGUG